UACGUAGGGCGCAAGCGUUUAUCCGGAAUUAUUGGGCGUAAAGAGCUCGUAGGCGGUUUGUCGCGUCUGCCGUGAAAGUCCGGGGCUCAACUCCGGAUCUGCGGUGGGUACGGGCAGACUAGAGUGAUGUAGGGGAGACUGGAAUUCCUGGUGUAGCGGUGAAAUGCGCAGAUAUCAGGAGGAACACCGAUGGCGAAGGCAGGUCUCUGGGCUGUAAUUGACGCUGAGGAGCGAAAGCAUGGGGAGCGAACAGG
rnacentral:rRNA from 1 species